rnacentral:lncRNA from 1 species
GUGCGCAAAGAUCGCCUCCGCAGGAUGAGGGAGUGGUGGGUCCAGGUGGGGCUGUGGGCCGCGCUCCUGCUUGCUGCGUACCUGCACAUCCCAUACACUCAGCUGUCACCUGAUCUUCACUCGUGGAAGUCUUCAGGCAAGUUUUUCACUUACAAGGGACUGCGUAUCUUCUACCAAGACUCUGUGGGUGUGGUUGGAAGUCAGGAGACAGUUGUGGUUUUACACGUUUUCCAAUAUCCAGCUACGAUUGGUACAAGAAUUGGGAAGGUCUGACCUUGAGGUUUCAUCGGGUGAUUGCCCUUGAUUUCUUGGCGUUGGCUUCAGUGACAAACCGAGACCGCAUCACUAUUCCAUAUUUGAGCAGGUCAGCAUCGUGGAAGCGCUUUUGCGGCAUCUGGGGCUCCAGAACUGCAGGAUCAAGUCUCAUGACUAUGGAGAUAAUUGUCGCUCAGGAGUUUCUCUACAGGUACAAGCAGAAUCGAUCUGGUCGGCAUACCAUAAAGAGUCUGUCUGUCAAAUGGAGGUAUCUUUCCUGAGACUCACCGUCCACUCCUUCUCCAAAAGCUACUCAAAGAUGGAGGUGUGCUAUCACUCAUCCUCACAUGACUGAUGAACUUCUUUGUAUUCUCUCGAGGUCUCACCCCAGUCUUUGGGCCGUGUACUUGGCUCUGUGAGAGUGAGCUGUGGGACAUGUGGGCAGGGAUCCGCAUCAAUGACGGGAACUUAGCCAUUGACGGUCUCUUACAGUACAUCAAUCAGAGGAAGAAGCUCAGAAGGCGCUGGGUGGGAGCUCUUGCCUCUGUAACUAUCCCCAUUCAUUUUAUCUACCGGCCAUUGGAUCCUGUAAAUCCCUAUCCAGAGUUUUUGGAUCUGUACGGGAAAACGCUGCUGCGGUCCACAGUGUGGAUUCUGGAUGACCACAUUAGCCACUAUCCACAGCUAGAGGAUACCAUUGGCUUCUUGAAUGCAUAUAUGGGCUUCAUCUAACUCCUUC